UAGGAGAGCGUUCUGUAAGCCUGUGAAGGUGAGUUGAGAAGCUUGCUGGAGGUAUCAGAAGUGCGAAUGCUGACAUGAGUAACGACAAUGCGAGUGAAAAACUCGCACGCCGAAAGACCAAGGUUUCCUGCGCAACGUUAAUCGACGCAGGGUUAGUCGGUCCCUAAGGCGAGGCUGAAAAGCGUAGUCGAUGGAAAACAGGUUAAUAUUCCUGUACUUCCAGUUAUUGCGAUGGAGGGACGGAGAAGGUUAGGCCAGCCUGGCGUUGGUUGUCCAGGUUUAAGGUGGUAGGCUGAAAUCUUAGGCAAAUCCGGGAUUUCAAGGCCGAGAGCUGAUGACGAGUUGCCUUUAGGCGACGAAGUGGUUGAUACCAUGCUUCCAAGAAAAGCUCCUAAGCUUCAGAUAACUGGGAACCGUACCCCAAACCGACACAGGUGGUUAGGUAGAGAAUACCAAGGCGCUUGAGAGAACUCGGGUGAAGGAACUAGGCAAAAUGGCACCGUAACUUCGGGAGAAGGUGCGCCGGCGAAGGUGAAGGGCUUGCCCCGUAAGCUUUUGCUGGUCGAAGAUACCAGGCCGCUGCGACUGUUUAUUAAAAACACAGCACUCUGCAAACACGAAAGUGGACGUAUAGGGUGUGACGCCUGCCCGGUGCCGGAAGGUUAAUUGAUGGGGUUAGCGCAAGCGAAGCUCUUGAUCGAAGCCCCGGUAAACGGCGGCCGUAACUAUAACGGUCCUAAGGUAGCGAAAUUCCUUGUCGGGUAAGUUCCGACCUGCACGAAUGGCGUAACGAUGGCGGCGCUGUCUCCACCCGAGACUCAGUGAAAUUGAAAUCGCUGUGAAGAUGCAGUGUAUCCGCGGCUAGACGGAAAGACCCCGUGAACCUUUACUAUAGCUUUGCACUGGACUUUGAAUUUGCUUGUGUAGGAUAGGUGGGAGGCUUUGAAGUGGGGACGCCAGUUCUCAUGGAGCCAUCCUUGAAAUACCACCCUGGCAACUUUGAGGUUCUAACUCAGGUCCGUUAUCCGGAUCGAGGACAGUGUAUGGUGGGUAGUUUGACUGGGGCGGUCUCCUCCUAAAGUGUAACGGAGGAGUUCGAAGGUACGCUAGUUACGGUCGGACAUCGUGACGAUAGUGCAAUGGCAUAAGCGUGCUUAACUGCGAGACUGACAAGUCGAGCAGGUACGAAAGUAGGACAUAGUGAUCCGGUGGUUCUGUAUGGAAGGGCCAUCGCUCAACGGAUAAAAGGUACUCUGGGGAUAACAGGCUGAUACCGCC
rnacentral:rRNA from 1 species